GAUGAACGCUGGCGGCGUGCUUAACACAUGCAAGUCGAACGAUGAAAGCGGGAGCUUGCUCCUGCUGGAUUAGUGGCGAACGGGUGAGUAACACGUGAGUAACCUGCCCUUGACUCUGGGAUAAGCGUUGGAAACGACGUCUAAUACCGGAUACGACCUUCGGAGGCAUCUCCUGGGGGUGGAAAGAAUUUCGGUCAAGGAUGGACUCGCGGCCUAUCAGCUAGUUGGUGAGGUAAUGGCUCACCAAGGCGACGACGGGUAGCCGGCCUGAGAGGGUGACCGGCCACACUGGGACUGAGACACGGCCCAGACUCCUACGGGAGGCAGCAGUGGGGAAUAUUGCACAAUGGGCGAAAGCCUGAUGCAGCAACGCCGCGUGAGGGACGACGGCCUUCGGGCUGUAAACCUCUUUUAGUAGGGAAGAAGCGAAAGUGACGGUACCUGCAGAAAAAGCACCGGCUAACUACGUGCCAGCAGCCGCUGUAAAAC
rnacentral:rRNA from 1 species